rnacentral:rRNA from 1 species
CCUACGGGUGGCAGCAGUGGGGAAUAUUGCACAAUGGGGGAAACCCUGAUGCAGCGACGCCGCGUGAGUGAAGAAGUAUCUCGGUAUGUAAAGCUCUAUCAGCAGGGAAGAAAAUUACGGUACCUGACUAAGAAGCCCCGGCUAACUACGUGCCAGCAGCCGCGGUAAUACGUAGGGGGCAAGCGUUAUCCGGAUUUAUUGGGUGUAAAGCGUGCGCAGGCGGAGGUGCAAGUCAGCGGUAAAAGUGCGGGGCUCAACCCCGUGUUGCCGUUGAAACUGCAUCCCUAGAGUGCGCGAGAUGUAUGCGGAAUGCGUGGUGUAGCGGUGAAAUGCAUAGAUAUCACGAAGAACUCCGAUUGCGAAGGCAGCAUACCGGCGCGAAACUGACGCUCAUGCACGAAAGCGUGGGUAGCGAACAGGAUUAGAUACCCGAGUAGUC